rnacentral:rRNA from 1 species
GAUGAACGCUAGCGGCAGGCCUAACACAUGCAAGUCGAGCGGGAUUCACCUUCGGGUGAUGAGAGCGGCGCACGGGUGCGUAACGCGUAUACAAUCUACCUUUUGCUACGGGAUAGCCCAGAGAAAUUUGGAUUAACACCGUAUAGUAUGAAGACUUGGCAUCAAGACUUUAUUAAAGGUUACGGCAAAAGAUGAGUAUGCGUUCUAUUAGCUAGAUGGUAAGGUAACGGCUUACCAUGGCUACGAUAGAUAGGGGCCCUGAGAGGGGGAUCCCCCACACUGGUACUGAGACACGGACCAGACUCCUACGGGAGGCAGCAGUGAGGAAUAUUGGACAAUGGGCGCAAGCCUGAUCCAGCCAUGCCGCGUGCAGGAAGACUGCCCUAUGGGUUGUAAACUGCUUUUGUACGGGAAGAAACACCUCCUCGUGAGGGGGCUUGACGGUACCGUAAGAAUAAGGAUCGGCUAACUCCGUGCCAGCAGCCGCGGUAAUACGGAGGAUCCAAGCGUUAUCCGGAAUCAUUGGGUUUAAAGGGUCCGUAGGUGGAUAAUUAAGUCAGGGGUGAAAGUCUGCAGCUCAACUGUAGAAUUGCCUUUGAUACUG